rnacentral:rRNA from 1 species
GAACUAGCAUAUCAAUAAGCGGAGGAAAAGAAACCAACAGGGAUUGCCUCAGUAACGGCGAGUGAAGCGGCAACAGCUCAAAUUUGAAAUCUGGUCGCCUGUGCGGCCCGAGUUGUAAUUUGAAGAGGAUGCUUUUGACAAUGUGCCUUCCGAGUUCCCUGGAAUGGGACGCCAUAGAGGGUGAGAGCCCCGUAUGGUAGGUUACUGCGUCUCUGUAAAGCUCCUUCGACGAGUCGAGUAGUUUGGGAAUGCUGCUCAAAAUGGGAGGUAAACCCCUUCUAAAGCUAAAUAUUGGCCAGAGACCGAUAGCGCACAAGUAGAGUGAUCGAAAGAUGAAAAGCACUUUGAAAAGAGAGUUAAACAGCACGUGAAAUUGUUGAAAGGGAAGCGUUUGCGACCAGACUUGUGCUCGUCGAAUCAGCCGUCGCUCGUCGGCGGUGCAUUUCGGCGGGCUCAGGCCAGCAUCAGUUCGCCGUAGGGGGAGAAAGGCGGAAGGAAUGUGGCUCUUCGGAGUGUUAUAGCCUACCGUAUAAUACCCCUCGGUGGACUGAGGACCGCGCAUCUGCAAGGAUGCUGGCGUAAUGGUUGUCAGCGACCCGUCUUGAAACACGGACCAAGGAGUCGUCCUAAUAUGCGAGUGUUCGGGUGUAAAACCCCUACGCGUAAUGAAAGUGAACGGAGGUGAGAGCUUCGGCGCAUCAUCGACCGAUCCUGAUGUUCUCGGAUGGAUUUGAGUAUGAGCAUAUUGGGCCGGACCCGAAAGAAGGUGAACUAUGCCUGUAUAGGGUAAAGCCAGAGGAAACUCUGGUGGAGGCUCGCAGCGGUUCUGACGUGCAAAUCGAUCGUCAAAUAUGGGCAUGGGGGCGAAAGACUAAUCGAACCUUCUAGUAGCUGGUUCGCGGGU